AGGAAUAUUGGUCAAUGGGCGGAAGCCUGAACCAGCCAUGCCGCGUGCAGGAAUAAGGCCCUAUGGGUCGUAAACUGCUUUUCCUUGAGGGCAAUAAGGGUCACGUGUGGCCCGAUGAGAGUAUCAGGGGAAUAAGCAUCGGCUAACUCCGUGCCAGCAGCCGCGGUAAUACGGAGGAUUCGAGCGUUAUCCGGAUUUAUUGGGUUUAAAGGGUGCGCAGGCGGGAUGUUAAGUCGGCGGUGAAAUUUUGCAGCGCAACUGUAAAAGUGCCUGCGAUACUGGCCUGCUGGAGUGUGGAUGAAGUAGGCGGAAUUUGUGGUGUAGCGGUCAAAUGCUUAGAUAUCACGAGGAACUCCGAUUGCGCAGGCAGCUUACUAAGCCACAACUGACGCUCAUGCACGAAGGCGUGGGGAUCAAACA
rnacentral:rRNA from 1 species